AACGAACGCUGGCGGCAGGCUUAACACAUGCCAGUCGAGCGCCCCGCCAGGGGGGCGGCCGACGGGUGAGUAACGCGUGGGAACGUACCUUUUGGUUCGGAACAACUCCGGGAAACUGGAGCUAAUACCGGAUAAGCCCUAACGGGGAAAGAUUUAUCGCCGAAAGAUCGGCCCGCGUCUGAUUAGCUAGCUGGUGAGGUAACGGCUCACCAAGGCGACGAUCAGUAGCUGGUCUGAGAGGAUGAUCAGCCACACUGGGACUGAGACACGGCCCAGACUCCUACGGGAGGCAGCAGUGGGGAAUAUUGGACAAUGGGCGCAAGCCUGAUCCAGCCAUGCCGCGUGAGUGAUGAAGGCCUUAGGGUUGUAAAGCUCUUUUGUCCGGGAAGAUAAUGACUGUACCGGAAGAAUAAGCCCCGGCUAACUUCGUG
rnacentral:rRNA from 1 species